GACGUAUCAGUCAAGGUUUAGCCGGUCCUUAGCAGAGCCAGUCCUUCCAGAAGCUUCUCUGCCUACUGGUCCUCAUCCACAAGAGACUCGUGGCUACAUCAGGAGAAGGCGAACAAAAGGAUCCAGCCCUACAGAGAAGGACGCCUAAGGAGGUCGGCUGUCAUUUCUCCCCGAGGCUGAAGUGCUGUCACUAUACAAGGGCCCUUUGAGUCUCGUGGAGAGCUGGUAAUUGGGCUCGGAAGAGGGAAACAGGAGAACUUUCAUUAGGACAUUAUUUACCGGUUUAUUAGCCUGAAGAAUCAUGCUUUGAUGGAAAGUGCCGACAACGCGCUCAUGGAAAUGGCAUCCCCCAUCGGCAAUCCCGUGGGCCUCUCUUGGGAUCCUCGGGAUAGCUCGGCCUGCAGUUAUGAUGGAGACAUCACCUAUGAAAGCCGUUAUUCUCUAUGCCAAACCUUCUAUCAUUAUCAGGGUCUAAGAGCUUAAUUGUGUUAUAAAGUGAAUUUUGAGACUCUGCCUUAAUUUUUCCACCAAUAGGCAAGUGGUCCAAUUGGAAAUAAGUACUGUUGACCUUUGAACAACAUGGGUUUGAACUGCACGGAUCCACUUAUAUGCGGCUUUUUGUCUUUUUUUUUUUUUUUUUUUUUUACUGGAAAAAGCUUUAUUGUUUCAUUUGGUCCACAGCUUGGGAGAGGACUCCAGGGUGGUUGAAAAGCUGCCAGUGGCUACAGAGAGACGUGUCAAGGAGCCUUGACACCAGGGGGAUGCCAGAGGGGACUUCAAGGAUCAGAGGCUCCUAUAUAUGCUCAAGGCUGAGCCUUUCCAAGAGAUACUCCACCAGCCCAGCCUGGGGGCCACCAGCCCAUGGAGGUGAGUCAGGUGGCGCCCGUCUUCUUGAUGAGUUUCACCUCCUUAUCCAGAAAGCAGUUCUCUGAAGCCACAGACGUGGGGGUCUGUGCGGGCAGACCCCUGGGUGUGCAGAUCCAAAGGCGUCUGGUUCAGUUUUCUCUAGGGCCGUGGCAGCUUCCCUGGCGUCCAAGGGUUUACUCCACUCAUCCUGGGACCACUUUGGUGCAUCCUGGAAGAGGGCACGGCUGCCAUGCUGGUUUUGCAUCUUCAAGAGAUGCCGGGUGCCCUGAGCUUUUCUUUGGCCAAAUGGAGGAAGAAGUGGCCCAUGGGCUCCUGAGCCCCAUCCCUGAGGUCAAAGCAGAAGCCUAGAAGGAGGGGCAGGAGGCCCACACAUGCGCGUUGACCAGGUGGUCCUGGAAGCAGAGGAUGCCUGAGAAAACGUGGUUCCAAAGGGUUCAGUGGGAAAAGAGGUCGGAGGAUGGUCAGGGGUUGGAAGAAGGGGCACCAUCAAAUCAGCACAUUGCACAUUUCUAAAACAUACACUUUUAUUUAUGGCUGAUGCUUCAAUAA